AUGGGGGACCAGGGGGAGGGGCCGGCCGGGUUCGCGCGCGCGCGCCACGCGGCGUUCCUGGAGCUCAUGUCGUCCGAGCUCCCCGACGGCUACGCCACGCAGGAGGUCAACCACCUCACCCUCGCCUACUUCGCCGUCGCCGGCCUCUCCCUCCUCCGGGAGCUCGACCGGGUUAACAAGGAUCAAAUUGCCAAAUGGGUUCUGUCGUUUCAAGUACACCCUGAGGCAAACGUCAACUUAGACAAUGGGCAAUUUUAUGGAUUCUGUGGCUCUAGAACAACUAAGUUUCCCUCAAAUUUGGUGAAGGACCCUUGUCAUAAUGGUAGUCAUCUAGCAAGCACUUAUUCGGCCCUUGCUACGUUGAAGAUUGUAGGUUAUGAUGUACUAAACCUUGAUAGCAAGGUUCUUCUAUUGUCGAUGAAAAAACUCCAGCAACCAGAUGGAAGCUUCAUGCCUACUCAUAUUGGUGCGGAAACAGACCUACGCUUUGUUUACUGUGCAGCUGCGAUCUGCUCAAUGCUAAAAGACUGGUCAGGAAUGGACAAGGAAAAGGCCAAAGAAUACAUUCUUAACUGCCAGUCAUAUGACGGUGGCUUUGGCAUGGUUCCUGGUUCAGAAUCUCAUGGUGGGGGAACUUUCUGUGCUGUUGCGGCCCUAUAUCUAAUGGGUUUCAUUCAAGUUGAUUUGGCAUCGAACUCACGAGAGUCUGCGCCGAUUGACGUACAAUUGCUCCUGGAGUGGUGCCUUCAGAGGCAAGCAGCAGACGGGGGAUUUCAGGGCAGAAGAAACAAGCCAAGCGAUACGUGCUACGCUUUCUGGAUUGGAGGCGUGUUGAAGAUGAUUGGCGCCUACCACUUGAUCGACCACGGCGCUCUGCGGGAGUUUCUGCUCACCUGCCAGACAUGCUACGGAGGCUUCUCGAAAUUCCCAGACGACGAGUUGCCAGACAUCUACCAUUCUUACUACGGUCUCGCCGCCCUCUCGUUGCUGGGGGAGGAGGAGGUCGAGCCGCUCUGCGCCGAGCUGGGGAUCAUCGCCGCCGCACUGUAG
rnacentral:rRNA from 1 species